AUCAAGGCUGAGGCGUGAUGACGAGGCACUACGGUGCUGAAGCAACAAAUGCCCUGCUUCCAGGAAAAGCCUCUAAGCAUCAGGUAACAUCAAAUCGUACCCCAAACCGACACAGGUGGUCAGGUAGAGAAUACCAAGGCGCUUGAGAGAACUCGGGUGAAGGAACUAGGCAAAAUGGUGCCGUAACUUCGGGAGAAGGCACGCUGAUAUGUAGGUGAAGUCCCUCGCGGAUGGAGCUGAAAUCAGUCGAAGAUACCAGCUGGCUGCAACUGUUUAUUAAAAACACAGCACUGUGCAAACACGAAAGUGGACGUAUACGGUGUGACGCCUGCCCGGUGC
rnacentral:rRNA from 1 species